rnacentral:rRNA from 1 species
GAUGAACGCUGGCGGCGUGCUUAACACAUGCAAGUCGAACGGUGAAAGAGAGCUUGCUCUCUGGAUCAGUGGCGAACGGGUGAGUAACACGUGAGCAAUCUGCCCCUGACUCUGGGAUAAGCGCUGGAAACGGCGUCUAAUACCGGAUACGAGCUGCGAAGGCAUCUUCAGCAGCUGGAAAGAACUUCGGUCAGGGAUGAGCUCGCGGCCUAUCAGCUAGUUGGUGAGGUAACGGCUCACCAAGGCGUCGACGGGUAGCCGGCCUGAGAGGGUGACCGGCCACACUGGGACUGAGACACGGCCCAGACUCCUACGGGAGGCAGAAGUGGGGAAUAUUGCACAAUGGGCGAAAGCCUGAUGCAGCAACGCCGCGUGAGGGACGACGGCCUUCGGGUUGUAAACCUCUUUUAGCAGGGAAGAAGCGAAAGUGACGGUACCUGCAGAAAAAGCGCCGGCUAACUACGUG